rnacentral:rRNA from 1 species
ACAAGCCUGAGAAACGGCUAGUAGGACUAAGGUCUGCAGCAGGCGCGAAACUUACACAAUGCUAGAUUAAAAUUAGCGAUGUAGUGAAGAAAAAUAACGAUGUACUUCCAUUUAAACAUGGUAGUACAAUUGGAAUGAGACGACUCUAAACCGGUCAGUCGAGUAACAAAUGGAGGGCAAGUCUGGUGCCAGCAGCCGCGGUAAUUCCAGCUCCAUUAGCAUACAUUAAAGUUGUUGCGGUUAAAAAGCUCGUAGUUGAAUUUUAGGCGAGCUCUAUUGGGAUGCGACCGUUAAGGUUUCAGUGUCACUUCGGUGCCUGCAAACUGGUCGUAUUUUCCCUAUAGGAACUCGCUGUUUCGUCACUUAAUCGAGUGCGAAGCGGGCUGGAACGAUGGUCAUCCUCGGAUGCCUUGUUACAGCAUGUUUACCUUGAGAAAAUUAGAGUGCUCACAGCAGGCAGUUGGGGUGUAAAAGCUCCUUUAUGCUUGAAUAAUGUUGCAUGGAAUAAUAGAAUAUGGCCUCGGUUCUAUUCUGUUGGUCUUAUAGAACAACAAAUAAGUUGGUUAAAGCGACCAAAAGUCUGUUUGGUAGUGUGGUUUCAAGUGACUUGUUACGCGUCUAGUAGCUCUUUCAUCGAUCUUAGCUCAAAUUCUGUUGCCUGGGGCCUUAAAAUCUCAGAGCCUGGUUUAGCUAUGCAUCUUUGUUAUCUGCUAGUGCUGGCAUGCUUGCUGGUUGCCAUUAAAGCACUCCUUACUAGGCUAGCUUUUAAUCAACUGAGGCAAUGGUUAAAAGAAAUAGUCGCGGCGGCAUCAGUACUGCAUCGUGAGAG